AUGCAGCACUCCCCUGGCAGCGAAAAAACCGGCUCUAAGAGCGUUGCCGGCUGGGCGCUGUAGCCCCCGCCGGCGAGAAGGCAAGAGAGCUGCCCUCUGUGGGCCACCUGGGCUGUAGAGCCGGGAGGGAAGGGUUUUCUCCGGCUUCCAUGCGCCGCCCCUCCUCCCUCAGCCGGGACGAGCAAAAUCUCGCGAGAGCUCCACCCCUGAGAUUGCGCAAAUCGGCUACGCUCAGCAGGCGGAGGAACGCGCCCGGCAAUCGCCUUGAGCGUCGCGCCCCUCCCGCUCUGCGUGAAAAUGGACUCGCCCGAAGCCGGGCCCAUGAAACGCCGGCGUGAACCAACGGGACACCGGGGGGGGGAGGGGGAUUCAAAGUUGAAGCGUCAUGGCCGGCUCCUCUCGGAGUUAAAUCACGCCGGGCCGCACGGGGGAUGGGUCUCCGAAACGGACAAGCUGCGGGAAGAACGUGCCUACCAGGAGACAACUGGACGGAACCACCUGGGAUGGCCAAGUGUAACACUUCUGCACUACGGUGGUACACUGUACUUCUUGUACGUCUGUCAGAAGCAGUCUGCAAAAAAUAAGAGUGGUGGCUGCCUCGAAAAUUCUGAGAAAAGGAAAUGAAAGUGAGAGAUGCAAGGGAUCGCUGCCUCCAAGUUGCUGUUGCCAUAGAACUGCUGCUGUUCAAGAAAAAACUGCAGCAUGGACUUCUUCUGCCACUGAAGCUAAUACCCAACUAGUGGAGCUGCUGGUAUGUGUGGGUGGAGGGGGAUCCAGCUACAGAAGAUUUGCUGCUCGCUGUGACA